rnacentral:lncRNA from 1 species
AGUAACCUUUUUAACUUGUUGGAAUUGGAUUCAUAAUUGUUACAGCAUGCAUGUGCCUUUUCAUGUUAUUUGGCAAUAAAAGGCUUAGAUCAAACGAGAUAUAAAAUCCAUUUGGUUAUAUCACAAAUGAACAGUUGAUGAUCUUUCAAUUUGGAAUUUGUUUCAUGAAUAUUGCAACGUGAAAAUGAUCAAUUAAAUGGCAUUAGCUUUUUGUUAGCAUUUUUUGUAAACCUGUUUCUUCAAGAGGUAACACUCAGACAACUUGUUAAGUUUCUGGGAAAGUAAGAAGGCAAAGGUUUA